rnacentral:rRNA from 1 species
CGCGGCCUAUCAGCUUGUUGGUGAGGUAACGGCUCACCAAGGCGACGACGGGUAGCCGGCCUGAGAGGGUGACCGGCCACACUGGGACUGGGACACGGCCCAGACUCCUACGGGAGGCAGCAGUGGGGAAUAUUGCACAAUGGGCGCAAGCCUGAUGCAGCAACGCCGCGUGAGGGAUGACGGCCUUCGGGUUGUAAACCUCUUUUAGCAGGGAAGAAGCGAAAGUGACGGUACCUGCAGAAAAAGCACCGGCUAACUACGUGCCAGCAGCCGCGGUAAUACGUAGGGUGCAAGCGUUGUCCGGAAUUAUUGGGCGUAAAGAGCUCGUAGGCGGUUUGUCACGUCUGCUGUGAAAAUCCAAGGCUCAACCUUGGACUUGCAGUGGGUACGGGCAGGCUAGAGUGCGGUAGGGGAGAUGGGAAUUCCUGGUGUAGCGGUGGAAUGCGCAGAUAUCAGGAGGAACACCAAUGGCGAAGGCACAUCUCUGGGCCGUAACUGACGCUGAGGAGCGAAAGCGUGGGGAGCGAACAGGAUUAGAUACCCUGGUAGUCCACGCCGUAAACGGUGGGUGCUAGCUGUGGGCCACAUUCCACGUGGUCCGUGACGAAGUUAACACAUUAAGCACCCCGCCUGGGGAGUACGG